rnacentral:misc_RNA from 1 species
CUCCGUUCUCUCUGGUUGCUCGUCAAUUUUGCAGGGAGAAAGGGUAGAUUCUCCAAAGACGACAAUGCAGGAUAGCAGUAAGUUCUUCCAGAUAUUCGUCAAGCUUCUAGAUGGCAAAACAGCAACCCUUAGAUUCACGGCUUCGCAAGUUGAUGGGCUCGCCAUUAAGCGACGGGUCUUCGAGAUCACCAAAAUCCCCACUCACUGUCAGCGCCUUAUAUACAGCGGGACACAACUCAGUGAGAGUUCCGCAAUCUCCAGUCCCGAAUGCACUGUCCACCUCUUGCUUCGCCUCCUUGGCGGCAAGGGUGGAUUUGGCUCUCUUCUGCGAGGAGCCGCCACCAAAGCUGGUCAAAAGAAGACCAACAACUUCGACGCAUGUCGUGACAUGAGUGGGCGGAGGCUGCGCCACGUGAACGCUGAGAAGAGGUUGGAGGAUUGGAAAGCAGAGGAGGAGGAAAGGAGAUUAGAGGAGAUUGCGGAGGAAUUUAUUAAAAAGAAGGCGAAGAAAGGGAAGAAGGGGGCUGGGGAGGGAGAGGCAGAAAAGUAUGUGGAGAAGUAUAGGAAAGAAUCCGCCAAGUGUGCAGCGG